GCUUGUUUGCAUUUUUUUUUCUUUUUUGUUAUUGUUAAAUGGUUUGGGGGCAGAACAAUGGGCCAGUUCCCAGCCUCCUUUGGGGAAAAUUUGUGGAAAAGGAGAGAUGAGAGGUAGGGAGAGGCUAGGAUCUCUGGCCAGGGUGCCUGGGGAUUAGGCUUGGGUGUCAGAUAGGCUUGGGGUAUCCUGUGCCCCUCGGACACACAUCGUAGUAAAGCUGUAAAGAGUCUGUUUAGGUAAACACACACUGAGUGCCUACUGUGUGUAUGGGAUACAAAGGCACAGGCAGAAAGCCCAAUCUUGCUUUUAAGAGAUCAAAGGUGAGAGAGAGAGAGAGAGAGAGAGAGAGAGAGAGAGAGAGAGAGAGAGACUUCCAAGUAGUAUAAUAAGUACAAUGGCAGAAAUAGGCAGGGAUCAAGAUGGGGUUUGGCAGGGGGCGGGGGAUGUCAGGAUCCUUCUCUUCCAAGCAGGACUGAGCCUUAGUGUUGAAGGCAGUGAGGGCACCUCUCACCAAACAACCUUCCAAGAAGUCGUAAGACCCAGCGUCACUGCUAAGCCUGUCCCAGCGAUGCCCAGAGCAGGCGGACAGCCUCAGCAGCCACCAUUCGUUCUCUGGGAUCCAAGCCUCAGCCUCUGCAGGGCCAGGAGGCUGGGUCCCUGGGCUGCUUAGCCUCAGGGAGCCUGGCGCUCCCGGGGGAAGGAGCCUGCACUUCCUUGGGGGCACGGAGGUGAUCAGCCUCCUUUUCAUGAAGUGAGGACUUUGAUCUCUCCAACUGGGGAGAAAAAGAGAGCUCUCCUUUUCAACACCUUCCAAUAUUUUCCGCCCUUGCUGUGCCUGGCCCCACUGUCACCUCACCUACAGGGAGACAGGAUGUGUUUCCAGCUGGGCCCUUUCUCCUCAGGAUUUAGACUUGGAGUGAGUGAAGCUUAUGAUACUGAUUGUGGCUGUGGCCGCGUGGCUUAGGUUGCCCUGAAAGGAGCAGGUGGAAGGGGGGGGGGGGGGACAGGGACACGGGGUUCUCCCUUGCUCUGCUCAGGUUUGCCCAGAGGCUGGGGGCUGGGAGAUGUGGGGCUGGGGUAGCUCAGUACGCAGGACUGCAACUCAGCGGGUCAGGCAGGAGUCCAUUGCUUCUGAAAAACCCGUACAAGGCCCAUCUGCCUGUGUCGUUUAACCAUGCCUCUGGGUUUUCAAGCUGGUGGGGUUGUCAUCUCCCCUCUUGACCUCCUGUCCCCUCUCACCAGUUGUUCUAAAUACUAAAUGGUUAAAAAGGAAAAAAAAAAAGAAAAAAAGAAAUCUUGGGCAGGAUGCUCUGAUGUUAAUCUUUCCGGUUUGUGUGUGAAUUCGCCACCUGAACUUGUUUCAGAAUCGGGCAAACCCGAGCAGUCCGUGAACUCUGAACUGAGGGAGGGCAGAAAAACAAAUAGAAUGCUUGCCUCCGUGUGCAACUCAGAAGGCCCAGCCCAUCGGGCUGGAGCGCGCCCUGGAGCCUUUGUUACCCCCAUCCUGACAGCACGUCCUCAGGCAAGCGGCUUUCAGGGACUCACCCCCCCCCCCACCGCCCCCUCCCCCUGCCGCAGAUGCAUGGUGGGGCUGAGGUGCAGGUGUGCUUUGCUUCCCGUGAGAAAGAGUGUGGCACAGCUGGGUGCCAGAAUCUUCUAGAAGUUCUGGGGUUUCCCCAGAAAUGAAAGGAUCUCAGAAGCAACUGGAUUUCGGGUUGCUUUCCCAUCUAUCAGCUCAGUUUCUCUGAAAUUUCCUUUCACACAGAGUCCCAUGCGCAAGCCCCAACCUUGUAGACAGGAAUGUCACAUUUGAUCAUUUUGCCAAGUGAGGAUUCUUGUUGAAAGGUGAAUAAUUACCCCCCAAUUGAUCUCUUUGGAGAAUUCAUAUACAUAUAUGUAUAUACAUGGUCUGUAAACAUACACCUUUUGUGAACAUACAUAACGUGUAAAGAGUUUUACCAAGGACUGAGGCCCCCUAUGUGCAUGGCCCCCCAGGAUGCACAUGCUGUGCCUGGAAGGGUGACCAGCUUGUCCCGGCUUGCUGGGGAAUGUUCCUAUUUUAAGCCGGGAAGUCCUACAUCCAGAGAACGCCCCCAGACUGGGGCAAACUGGGAACUCUGGUGGCCAUAGAGCCGGGCAUUUGAAGUCCCUUAUCUCACACAUCCUUAUGACGACACUGUGCAUUAGAUGGGUCUGCACAGAGAAGGCACCGGAGACAGACAUGUCGAGUGAGUUUCUCAAGGUCACACGCCAAGUCAGCGGCUAGGGCAAGGCCUACACUUAGGCCUCAUUCUACAAGCGUGCGUUUUUUAUGGGGACACCUCAGAUCUUGCAAAUGCAAGCGGGGAAAGCCCUGCUGAAGAUCCAGAAUGAUGGGCCGUGGCUCCUGGGGUUGGAAAAGGGAGGGCAAAGCCAGGAGGAGGAGGAGGAGCCAGACCUCCAGGAUCUCCAGCUUGGCGUGCUUAAGGAGGAUGGAGGACUUGCCUCGAGGACGCUUGCCGGGGCCUUCUACAAGGAAGGACGCGUGAAACUCCUCCCUCUGGUCCAGCGUGCAGCCCUCGUCCUGCAGCCCAGCCCGUGAGCCUCCUUAUUUGGCACCAGAGGAGCCUCGAUUGCAGACGGGAGAAUUUGCUGGGAGCCCCCCUCACAGGAGCAGCCCGCAUCCCUCUCCCCCUCCGCCCCCAGCCCCAUCCCAACCCAUCCCCUUGUGCUGCCCCAGGGGCUUCCAAAUAGGUUCUCCUUGCCUGUCGGCCAGACCUGCUGGGCCUGGUGAGCAGAGAGAGGGAGAGCUAAUUACUGUUUUCUCUUUUCAGUGCCCGUAGCUCUGCCAAAUGAGGAUCCCCAUUCUGUAGGGACCCUAAUCCUCUACGGGUGCCCGGAGGUGCCGCACGCAGAUUUCCAUCUUGCUCAUUAUCGUGGGCCCUUUUCCAGAACGCGUCCGGUCCUGGCUUCCGGGACUCCGCCUGCCGCGCACACCUGUACUUCCUGUCGCCUGCCUCCUGGAGGAAGGGGUGCUCGGUUUUCCGGGGGUCUCCUGAUCCCCAGAGUGGAGCUGACAGGAAACCAGGCCAGGUCAUUCCAGCGACGUGGCCCGAGGAGCAGGGGCCCUCUUGGGAGUUUCCUCGUUUAAAAAGAAAGGGAUGGCGGAGGACUGGGGCGUCAGUAUCCUGGAGGACAGUGGUCUGGGCCACGCGGAGGCUGGUGGCUACCGUGUUGGAGAAGCGGCAAUGUUCGGUGAGUCCCCGACUCUGCCUGAACCGUCUCUGCAAAAGGUGUCCCUCGGAUGCAGUCACCUGGCCAGCGCCUGCAUCUGCUCCCUGGACCCUUCCAUUAACCCUGCGCUGCGGGGACCCAGCUCCUCUGCUCCACACGUGCUCCUCUCUGGCUUCUGUCCUGCUGAAAACGGACCGCAGAGAAACGAGCAAGAACCUGAAGUCCGACCAAAGCCUGCAGAGGUCUGCAAGGCGCCCAGCUCUUCUGGGAAGCCCGUUCUUUUCGAAGCGGCGCGGAGGUUCCCCGGGCCGCUACGGGCUAUCAGAUACUGUCUUGCGACUGCUCUUUCACUGCUAAUAACUUAAGGGACAGUUUGGGAUUGAUGCAGUAAUGCUGCGGGAGCUCUCGGCCCACAUUUGCUUCCACCAUAGCCUUCCCGUUCGCACGCUGAAAUAUUAGAUGUUCAGUUGGGAGUCCAACAGCAAAAUAUUUCUGAAAUUGUGUGUGUGUGUUUUUCUUCUAAUUUAAUGUGCCAGACAAGCCUCCCUGUAAUUAAAACCAGAAACAAGGACCAGACUUAGACAGAGAUUUGAAGGCUGUAAAAUUCUAGGACAGGUUUAUGUAAAGCAAUUAAAAAGGGAGUUAAAAAUUGUUAAAAAAUUAAACACUAAUUACUUUUUUUUCUCCUCCCAUUUCUGCUGAGCUGUUUUGGCCGUGGAGCUCGAAGGACGAUAUAAAAAGGAGAAAGUUUUGCCUCGUU